rnacentral:lncRNA from 1 species
UUUUUUUUCUUUGUUCUUUUUUUUGAGUUGGGUUUUGCUAAUGCUUUAGAUCAAUAAAUUGCCAUGAGAUUCUGCUCACCACACUGGUAUUGCUAAUGUCUUUUUUAUUUGAGUUGGGUAUUGCUAAUACUUUAGAUCAAUAAAUUGCCAUGAGAUUCUGCUCACUGGCAUUGCUAAUAAUCUAUAUCAAAUUGGGAAUACUUGCUAGUGCAUAAUUUGACUGCUUUUCCAUUGGACAAGACUCACAUUGCAUAGAGCUUGACAUUGGUUCAUUUCUUUUCAAGUCAUAAAUAUAUUUGAAGUAUUUGUUAAGAAUCAGAAGGCCCUAAUAUUUGGUAUUCUGUUUCAGAUUUUUCCACUCAUUGGAAGUAUAAUGGCAUACCGAAGCAAAAGUGGGCAUUGUUCAUACGUUUUUCUUUCAGCAUCCUUUUACUAUGCAUGACUCUGUCAAAGGUUCCAUGGUAAAUGUUGCUUGUGUUUUUGGCCAAACCGGUGAUGAAAGUUGUUAGCCUGCAACCUAUCUUGGAAGAACUAUGCAUAUCAUUAGAAUUAUGCAGAUUUUAUUUCCUUCAAGAAGCAUUGAUGCCAAAUUGUUUAUGCACUCUACCAUAAGGAAAAAAAGAGUUCAAUAUCUGAUAUUCUAAAUUGUUUGUGCACUCUACCAAUGUCAAGUACUUCCUGCUAUAGCUGAGAGUUGAAUUUAGUACAAUCUGAUAUUCUAAAUUGUGUCUAAUUAUGUAAAGUAGAAUAAUCUAGUUAUUGCCUUAAGAUUAUUGGAAAUGGGUUUUUGUAUGCUAAACCUUAGCCACUGAUGAAUGUUGAAUCAAGAUAAGGUUGUGUUCGUGGUGAGAAGGGGCUAUCGGCCAUGCUCUCUUCCACUUCGUCAGCUCCCUUGCCUCGACACAUGUAUUCUCGAACAAUGCAAUCCUGCAGAACAAGUAUGUACAUGUUGCAUCGUUAUGUUUCCUUUUCUUGUUUUGCUUUGAUAAAAUAGGUAGAUGAGAUGAGAAACGACGUACACUUUUGUCUCGAUGGCCUUCCCCAGUCAUCCCAUCCCUGUGGUUUUACGUCUAUAUUGAGCUCACUGUAUGAAUAUAUUAUUACUCUUGAAUUAUUUGUGGAU